UGGUGGGCCCAAGUGCAGAGCUAAUACUUACUGGUAUGAGGUGGUAAAGUGAAAUAGAUAUAUUUGGAGUCACUUUGUGGUAACCAGCGACCUAUCGUGUGAGGUAGCGGAGCGCUACCACUGUGCCACAGUGUCUGUAGAAAAAGAGAUGGAAAGCAAAUGGUGGGAAUGGCAGACAAAAGAGACACUUAAGACCAGCAUGCUCAAACAAAGAAACACACUAAAAAGAACACAAAACCACUCUCAAGCUCGAGAGGGCAUAAGGCUGGACUGAAGUACCAUACCGGUUACCCCUCUACAAAGGUGUUACCCUGAGCUGCCGUUUGUGUGAACGUUUAUGCAGUUUUCCCCAGGUGCAACCAGUCAGCACUGAUUAUCAGUUUCUGGGAGGCACAACGAAUCUGAGACAUCAGUGUAGCACAGCAUGUGCUACCCCAGGCUCAAGGAGGACGCUGGAGGUAGCGUUCAUGUUUGCAGCAGCCAUAUUUUAUUCAAAGACCAAAUAAACACAAAGCAAACAAAACCAAAUAAUCAAAGCUAUGCUGGCCAUUUUUCAGUGGCUUAAGCUAGACUUUUCAGUACUUUUCAAAGUAAGCUUUUCAGCUCUGUCCUCAGUCUUUUGUUGCUGCUGCUGCUCGUCCCUCUCUUGCUCUGUUCCCUCUCAGCUCUUUUAAAAAGCUAGCUGAGUCGAGAGGGAAUGCGAGUUCACUGCUCCGCCUCCUCGUCACCAUCCCCAGCUCACAGCACGGCCGCCUGGGACAAAUGUGAGGUGUAGUGAAGCGGCAAUUGCAGCCGCCGUAGGGGCCAGGGGGACAGGCACACACCACAGUCAGGUUAGGAGUUUUGAUACCCACACCAUACAUCUUUACCUGUUAACCUCUCAGGCACAGGCUCAAAAAGAAUGUCCAGCUCAGUACUUCUCUCUCAAAUGCAAUAACAACAUUAUACUGAUAAAGAUAUGAAGACAGUAGAUCAUUCACUUCAAUCCUCGGAAAACACAUUCUUAAUCAAAUUCUGAAUGAGUUCUCUUUUAAUAUUGAACAUGUUCACAUUCAUCCUGUUGGGGAGGAGGUCCAAAGCACAGCCUACAUUACAAAAUGUUCUUCUGCAUGUUGUAUGUACCUCUGCAUGUUGUACACUACUAGUAGAGAGAUCCUCAAAAACACAAACUUAUACAGUGCAACUUUAAAUCAGGUGUGCUGCUGCAAUAUUUUUGCAAGGGCUGGGGGCAUCAAGGAAAAAUCUGUCACUAAAUCUACGUUCACAAAACCUUCUUACUGAUUGAGAUUAUGUUAGGGUUAGGCUAAGUGUGUAAUGUUAGGUAAUUAGAUAUAACUUAUUAGUUCAAUGCAUGUUAAGACAUAAUCAUCUACAAAAUGUCUACAUAGGUCCAUCCAAAUAAAUGUUACUAAAGAGUCAAGCUGAUCAAAAUUAUCUUUCCUUUUUGUCAUACACACCAAGAGAUUCUCCAGGAAGACUGUCCAGCCAGAAGCAGUAUAACUUAUCUAAUACAGGCCGGGCUAUUGAAUAUAUGAACAAGAUACAGUCUCCUUUUCAAAUAUAUGGUGCACAUGGGUUACUGAUUCAUUUGUAUGAUUUAUUUGUAUCCAACAAAUUAAAAGAGGUAUUAAAUUUCA